CAGUCGCCGCGGGAAUACGAAGGGGGCUAGCGUUGUUCGGAUUUACUGGGCGUAAAGGGCGCGUAGGCGGACUGAUAAGUCAGGGGUGAAAUCCCAAGGCUCAACCUUGGAACUGCCUUUGAUACUGUUUGUCUUGAGUUCGAGAGAGGUAAGUGGAACUGCGAGUGUAGAGGUGAAAUUCGUAGAUAUUCGCAAGAACACCAGUGGCGAAGGCGGCUUACUGGCUCGAUACUGACGCUGAGGCGCGAAAGCGUGGGGAGCAAACAGGAUUAGAUACCCGGGUAGUCCCUGUCUCUUAUAC
rnacentral:rRNA from 1 species